GACGAACGCUGGCGGCGUGCUUAACACAUGCAAGUCGAGCGGUAAGGGCCCUUUACGGGGGUACACGAGCGGCGAACGGGUGAGUAACACGUGGGUGACCUGCCCUCAGUUCUGGGAUAAGCCUGGGAAAACCGGGUCUAAUACUGGAUAUGACCUCAUGACGCAUGUUGUGGGGUGAAAGCCUUGUGCGACUGAGGAUGGGCCCGCGGCCUAUCAGCUUGUUGGUGGGGUNAUCGGCCUACCAAGGCGACGACGGGUAGCCGGCCUGAGAGGCGACCGGCCACACUGGGACUGAGACACGGCCCAGACUCCUACGGGAGGCAGCAGUGGGGAAU
rnacentral:rRNA from 1 species